GGGGAAUAUUGCACAAUGGAGGGAACUCUGAUGCAGCGACGCCGCGUGAGUGAAGAAGGUUUUCGGAUCGUAAAACUCUGUCCUUGGUGAAGAUAAUGACGGUAGCCAAGGAGGAAGCCCCGGCUAACUACGUGCCAGCAGCAGCGGUAAUACGUAGGGGGCGAGCGUUGUCCGGAUUUACUGGGCGUAAAGGGUGAGUAGGCGGUAAGAUGUGUCAGAUGUAAAAGGCUAUGGCUUAACUAUAGUUAGCAUUUGAAACUGUAUUACUUGAGUGCAGGAGAGGUAUGCCGAAUUCAUGGUGUAGCGGUGAAACGCCUAGAUAGUAGGAGGUACAUCAGUUGCGAAGGCGGAUUACUGGACUGUAACUGACUCUGUGUUACGAACGCGUUGGUAUCAAAGA
rnacentral:rRNA from 1 species